rnacentral:sRNA from 1 species
UCGUGUGUGAGGAGUAAGUGAAAAUAAAAAGCGUUUGGGGUGGAAACACGGCAACACUCCCGCACGCUUUUUGUU